rnacentral:rRNA from 1 species
UUGGAGGGCAAGUCUGGUGCCAGCAGCCGCGGUAAUUCCAGCUCCAAUAGCGUAUAUUAAAGUUGUUGCAGUUAAAAAGCUCGUAGUUGAAUUUCGGGGUUCUACCGUUGGUCGGGCUAUUGUCUGUACUGGCGUGUAGAAUUUCUACCUUCUGGGGAACUAUCAUGUUAUUAAUUUAGCGUGGUAGGAAACCAGGACCUUUACCUUGAAAAAAUUAGAGUGUUCAAAGCAGGCUUAUGUCUGAAUACAUUAGCAUGGAAUAAUAAAAUAGGACGGUGGUCCUGUUUUGUUGGUUCCUGAAUCACCGUAAUGAUUAAUAGGGAUAGUUGGGGGCAUUAGUAUUCAAUUGUCAGAGGUGAAAUUCUUGGAUUUAUUGAAGACUAACUACUGCGAAAGCAUUUGCCAAGGAUGUUUUCAUUAAUCAAGAACGAAAGUUAGGGGAUCGAAGACGAUCAGAUACCGUCGUAGUCUUAACCAUAAACUAUGCCGACUAGGGAUCGGAUGAUGUUAAUUUUUUAAUGACUCAUUCGGCGCCUUACGGGAAA